rnacentral:ncRNA from 1 species
AAUAAAAUUUUUUAUGGUUUAAAAAUUUAUUAUAAGUUUAUUUUACAUAUAAAUUUUAGUGUUAAAUAUUAAUUAUUUAAAUAAUAAUUAUUUAUUUUGUAGUAAUUAAUAUUAAAUUAUUUAAGAAAUUAAGAUUUAGUAAUAUUUAAAUUAAUAACAAAUUUUGUGCCAGCAGUUGCGGUUAAACAAAAAUUAAAUUAAAUUUUAUUAGUAAUUAAUUAAUAAAUAUUUUAUAAUAAAAAUUUUAAAUUAUUAAGUGAAAUUUUAAUUUAAUUUAAAUUUAUAUUUUAAAUUUAUGAUUUAAUAAAUUUUAAUAAAAAACUAGGAUUAGAUACCCUAUUAUUAAAAUUUAAAUUUAUAAUACUAAAAUAGUAGGUAAUUAUUUAUUGAAACUUAAAUAAUUUGGCGGUAUUUUAGUUCAUUUAGAGGAAUCUGUUUAAUAAUUGAUAAUCCACGAAUAAAUUUACUUAAUUUAAUAUUUUGUAUAUCGUUGUUAGAAAAAUAUUUUUAAAGAAAAUUAAUAUUUAAAAAUUAUUAAUUAAUUCAAAUCAGAUCAAGAUGCAGAUUAUAAUUAAGAAUAUAAUGGAUUACAAUAAAUUUAUUUAUAUGAAUAUUAAUUUGUAAUAAUUAAUUGAAGGUGGAUUUAAAUGUAAUUUUAUUUAAUUUAUUAAAAUGAUUAAAAAUUAAAAUAUGUACAUAUUGCCCGUCACUUUCAUAUAAAAUAAUUAUAAGUUUAAUUAUAAUAAAUUGAAAUAAGUCGUAACAAAGUAGAGGUACUGGAAAGUGUUUCUAGAAAGAA